rnacentral:lncRNA from 1 species
UCCCAGGCCGCCCUUAAAGACGGCAGCCCCGAACUUCCGCCGCAGCAGCCGUUCUCCGGUGAUAACCAACGCGGCUCCCCCGCGCCCGCCAGCGAGCCGCGCGCCGGAGGAGGACAAGGCGGCCUCGAACACGCAGCGCCGGUCGUUAGCGCAAGCGGCCCAGACGAGCCGCAGCCCAGCAGCGCCGAGGCGCCGGAGGGGCUUCACGCCCCCGCCCAGGAGGAGGAUGCGACGGACGUCGUCUGCGGGCUGAUCGCCGAGCUCUCGAGYCUCAAGUGAGAGCGGGCGGCGGGGAGGGCACCCGGGGCUUCGGAAGCAGCGACGUGCAGCCCGCGCGCCUCCCUUUGACCCCCAGUAACCGCGGGAAGCGGCGUUCCAGGUGGACGCCCCAAACGCACCGGACGGCACGCGUCGUUCCCACCGCUCGCCUCGUUGCCCGGCUUUGCCGCCUGCCUUGUCAGCCGCACGGCUGCUUCCGACCCAAGGACAGGCCGUUUUCUUCCCUAGAGGAGACRCAAAUAGAUAAAGCGCAGGUUUGACACCAGUUCGCUACCGAAGGGAAUCGCAGUUUGUCCCCUGGUCGCUCCGCGUUUACUAAUUAACCUGUGUUUAACAAACGUUUGUGGAAACGUAGGUUUCGCUUCCUGUCAGCCCGAGCAGCGACCGCUGCCGCGGUGUUUUACCCGGUAAAGACGACGGAAGGGGUUUCGCUUGUAGAGCCUGAGUUUUCUACCUAGGAAUUUGAAUAAGUGGGUAAACAGCUAUAAAAUUUAAAAACCAAAAUCCCGGGAACAUUGUUCACUGAGGAGUUAACGUCAGGCGCAGGAGCGGGCUCCUCCUCAGCCUGUUCUGCGGGAAGCUCUUUAUUUGCCUGCUUCACCUGUUCGCACCUACUUAAUCCAAAUUCUUUGUAAACGUUUUGGAGAAAAACUCUGUGUAGAAAGUCCCCAGACCUCCCUUCCGCCUGAAGUGAGUCGCGAUGGAGGGAAAUGGCUUCCUGACAAGUGACCAACUAACAGCGCUAUAAGCACAAAGCUUUUAAAUAAAUGGCUGUUAUGCUUUUAAGUAAAUCGCUAC